rnacentral:rRNA from 1 species
UCAGGUGGCCGCAGAGAAUAGGCCCAAGCGACUGUUUACCAAAAACAUAGGUUUCUGCUAAGUCGCAAGACGAUGUAUAGGAGCUGACGCCUGCCCGGUGCUGGAAGGUUAAGGGGAUCUGUUAGAGCAAUCGAAGCAGUGAACUUAAGCCCCAGUAAACGGCGGCCGUAACUAUACCGGUCCUAAGGUAGCGAAAUUCCUUGUCGGGUAAGUGCCGACCCGCACGAAAGGCGUAACGAUUUGGGCACUGUCUCAACAACAGACUCGGUGAAAUUGUAAUUCCGGUGAAGAUGCCGGAUACCUGCGACAGGACGGAAAGACCCCAUGGAGCUUUACUGUAGCUUGACAUUGGGUCUUGGUACUACAUGUACAGGAUAGGU